UGUGGCGUCACAAACGCAUUUUUAAUUGUCCUCUGCAACUUUUUCUUGCGUAUGGAUGCCAUUUAAAUUCCGUAGGGAUGGGGAAAUAUUUUCUCAAUAUACCGUUAGCGAUAAAAACAGCAUGUGAUGGUGUAUAAUUUAAUAGAUUCCUUCCAGCAGCAUUAAACAAUGCCUAAGAGGAAGGGAACAGACCAUGACAGCCAGCAAAAGGCCUCAGGGACGACACGGAGACGUCCUAAUCCCCAGCAAUCAUCUUCUACUUCCAGUCCUACUGUACAGCCUUCACAAGGACUGGUGAGCCUGCCUGCUCUUGAUCAAGAUGCAUUGGGCGAUUUUCCGCUUUCGAAUUCACAGUUGGAGGCCAUUACAGCAUCAAUAACUGCUUCUGUGAGGCAGUCAAUCAUGGAGAGUCUGCGACAGCAAGGACUCGUUCAAAAUAAUGACACUAUCACAAUUCCUCAUACGGCCUCAGCAACACAGACAGCCUCGUCGACGGACGCAGCCUCUUCAGUGCACGUGGAUGCUACGUUGACGCACACCACUUUGCCGCAGACUAUGGCAUCAUUGCAGCGCAUCCCCUCAGCACCUCUGGCCCAUAGCAACAGUGAAAGUGUAGAGACAAUGACAUUAACAAACUGUGUUCCUGUGUAUUAAUCUCAACAUAAUAGGAUAACAGGUGGGUCAUUAGGAAAUGGCAUACAACAAAAGUACAUUUAAUCUUUAGCCCCCAGUUUCCCUUUCAUGUCGUCCCUUAUAUUCAAAAGUACCUGCAAAACUUAAAGAGGAAAUAUGGGCAGGGGAAUAUGUUGCACUUGGUCAACUCCAAGACCAGGUAGAAGGUGAUUUCACCUUUAAAAUGGGCAAAGAUGGAGUGAUAGGCAUAAUGCCUACCGUGAGGAAAACUUUUCUCACCAUUGAAAAGUGGACUGAUGCAUUUAACAUCUUUGCAUCAGUCCGCAGAUUGAAAUUUCCUCAGGAAAUAGAAGGGUUAUCUACGUACCAGAAUGUGGUGCGUAGUAUUGCCAAUGCUGGUGGUGAUUGGUAUUUUUACGAUACUAAUUUCCGUAAGUUAAAACAAGGGUGAGAGGAUGUCAUGUGGGCUGUGUUAGAGCAUGAGCUUUAUGCAAUGGCUCUUACACGUCGUAAGCAUGAUACUAAGUCUCAUAGCGCACAGGUAUCCGUGCAACGUCGUGGCAAGUCUGCCUCAGGUACAGGCUUUGGCGCUUGCUUCAAAUUUGAUAAUGGGACAACCUGCAAUGGCUGUAGGUACAAACACAUCUGUUCCUACUGUGGCCUUUCUUCCCAUCCUAAGAUUACGUGCUUCAAGGCUCAAGCACGUGACGGUCAUAAUACAGGCAGACCUACUACAGGUGCAGUUCAUGAUGAUAAAACUAAGCAACCGCAAGCAAAUAGAAAAUGACUCUCUGCUGCUUUCACUUCUGUCACCACACCAGUCAGUAGUGAGGUCUUAAAAGCAUUUUUUACAAGGGUAUGACAAAAAUAGUAUUGACUAUUUGGUAACAGGAUUUCAGCAAGGGUUUAGAUUAAACUUUGAGGGGUCAAUAGGUUUUCAGGAUUGUGUUAAUCUCGUAUCAGCUCUACAAGAUCCUGAUAAUGUUAUGAAAAAAAAUGGGAAAAGAAGUUGAAGCUGCAUGGUCGCAUAAAAGGUCCAUUUGAUGUAGCCCCUUUUCUAACGUAAAAAUUUCUCCACUUGGUUUAGUUCCGAAAAAACAACCAGGACAGUUAAGGCUUAUCUAUCAUUUGUCAUUUCCACAUAACAGCUCCCAAUCAGUUAAUUCAUGAAUUCCAAAAGAUUACACUACGGUUCGGUAUGCCUCCAUAGAUGAUGCCAUUAUUAAGAUCAAGGCUUGUGCUGCAGGAGCUUUUAUGGCAAAAUCAGACAUUGAAUCUGCUUUCCGUACUAUUCCCAUUCAUCCGAAUGACUAUGAGCUUUUAGGGAUAAAGUGGAACGGCCAAUUCUAUUUUGGCACAUGCUUACCCAUGGGUUGUACAUCAUCUUGCAGAAUUUUUGAGACAUUUAGUUCUGCAGUGGAGUAGAUUUGUAGUCAUAAGCUUGGUUGUGCCUACUUUGUUCAUGUUCUUGAUGAUUUUCUUUUCAUUGAAAGAUCUGUGAAAACAGCCAGCAUGGCUCUAACUGGCUUUCUCAAUACAUGUCAACACAUAGGUAUUCCCAUUGCUAAAGAGAAGACUUCCCCCCCUGCUCAGCAAAUGGAAUUUUUAGGCAUAACUCUUGAUUCUGUGAAGCUAGAAGCUAGGCUACCUGAAGAUAAGCUGUUGAAAUGUCGGGACAUGAUUAUGGUUUUCUUAGGUCAGUCUAAAUGCACAUUACGUGAGAUUCAGAGUUUGAUAGGCCUGUUAAACUUUGCAUGCUCCGUGGUGACUCCAAGGAGGCCAUUUUUAAGGCGACUUAUUAAUCUGACUAUUGGGGUAACACAGGCUCACUACCGUAUCCGCUUAACUCAAGAAGUUAAAGCAGAUUUGAAUAUGUGGCUGGAAUUCCUUACUCAUUUUAAUGGAUGCAUGGAUCUAUUGGAGGUCUGUUAAUUUUAAGAGACGUGUACCUUCACAAUUCUGGGUAGGCCGUCUUUUUCUUCAAAUAUAUCUCUUAUUGGCGUAAGGUAGUUCAAAGAAACCUUGAUGCCUGUAGUAACUUGCAUAUUUAUUUUUGAUUGCAAGUGGAGAUAUGAAGAUAUUUUGCCUUCUGUGGGGAAGACAUUUCAAUGUCUGGUGGAGACAUUUUCAAUGUCUUUCUGGCGGUUUUUAUUUGGUUAACCCCACAUUGGCUUAUUGUUUUAUGUUUGAUCAAAGUGAUAUCUUAUACAUGUAUUUGGUUUAUAUGAGUAAUUUCAUCUCAUAAUCUUCUAUUAUCACUUUUUCAUGAUUAAAAAAUAUUUUGUCACCCUCUGUGAGGGUGGCCUUAUUCAUUCAAAUACAGUUGUUGAGUUGUUUCUUGUAAGUGUGUAGGUGCAUAAAAUGCAGCUAAGUAUUUAGCUGAAUUUAUGCAUAGGAAACACUACAAGAAUUAUUUCAUAUUUUACAAUUGUAUUCCAUUAGUUUUUGUGAGGGUUAUGCCCAUGAUAUAAUUAAUUUAUUGUCCAUUUAUUUCAUGGGAGUUAUGUCCCUUGCCGUUGGACCAAAGGAUCCCUGAUUGGUCAAUUGCUUUAAGGGGGUCCCAAGACCCCGCGGCAUUCUUAACAUUAGGCACUCAUCUUUGAAAUUCACUGCAUCAACUUUUGAGUGUCCAACUUUUAGCAAGAAAAAAGACUUCAAUUUUGAACUCCCACCCACUGCCUCCCUUUGUCUUAUUAUUCAAUAUUUUAUCAAAGUGAUAUUUUAGGUGUAUUUGGUAUAUGAGUUAUAUUAUCUCAUAAUCUUUUGGCGGUUUGUAUUUGGUAAACCCCGCAUUGGCUUAUUAUUUUAUGUUUGAUCAAAGUGAUAUUUUAUAUAUGUAUUUGGUUUAUAUGAGUAAUUUCAUCUCAUAAUCUUCUAUUAUCACUUUUUCAUAAUUAAUAAAUAUUUUGUCACCCUCUGUGAGGGUGGCCUUAUUCAUUCAAA